CGAUUAGUCUUUCGCCCCAUGCGCAGAUUUGACGAUCGAUUUGCACGUCAGAACCGCUGCGAGCCUCCACCAGAGUUUCCUCUGGCUUCACCCUAUCCACGCAUAGUUCACCAUCUUUCGGGUCCGAACAGUUAUGCUCUUACUCAAAUCCAUCCGAAGACAUCAGGAUCGGUCGAUGAUGCACCCGUAAGGGCUCUCACCUCCGUUCACUUUCAUUACGCUUGAGGGUUUAACACCCAAAAACUCGCAUAAAUGUUCGACUCCUUGGUCCGUGUUUCAAGACGGGUGGCUGAUGACCAUUAUGCCAGCAUCCUAGCCGAAGCGCGGUCCUCAGUCCCAGCGGCGGUAUUACACAGCAGGCUAUAACACUCCCGGGGGAGUCACGUUCCUGAAGUCUUUAUCCCGCCGCCGAAACUGAUGCUGGCCUCAACCAAGCGGAGUGCACCGGUGAGAACACCGGAUGAUCCGCAAGGCAAAGGUCUGGUCACAAGCCCUUCCCUUUCAACAAUUUCACGUACUAUUUAACCCUCUUUUCAAAGUGCUUUUCAUCUUUCGAUCACUCUACUUGUGCGCUAUCGGUCUCUGGCCGGUAUUUAGCUUUAGAAGAAAUUUACCUCCCAUUUAGAGCAGCAUUCCCAAACUACUCGACUCGUCGAAGGAGAUUUACAGAGGCUCGGCAUCCAACCGUACGGGGCUCUCACCCUCUAAGGCGUCCUGUUCCAAGGAACUCGGAAGGUACCUAACCAAAAUCAUCCUCUACAAAUUACAACUCGGACCCGAGGGCCAGAUUUCAAAUUUGAGCUGUUGCCGCUUCACUCGCCGUUACUAGGGCAU
rnacentral:rRNA from 1 species